rnacentral:rRNA from 1 species
CCUACGGGUGGCAGCAGUGAGGAAUAUUGGUCAAUGGCCGGAAGGCUGAACCAGCCAAGCCGCGUGAAGGACGAAUGUGCCAAGCAUUGUAAACUUCUUUUGUCAAGGGACAAAAUCAGGCUCGAGAGCCUGACCGAGGGUACUUGAAGAAAAAGCAUCGGCUAACUCCGUGCCAGCGGCCGCGGUAAUACGGAGGAUGCGAGGUUUAUCCGGCUUUAUGGGGGUUAAGGGGUCCGUGGGCGGACUGUUAAGUCAGCGGUAAAAGCCCGGGGCUCAACCCCGGCGAGCCGUUGAAACUGGCUGUCUUGAGAUGUGGAGAGGUAUGCGGAAUGCGCAGUGUAGCGGUGAAAUGCUUAGAUAUUGCGCAGAACUCCGAUUGCGAAGGAAGCAUACCGGCGGCGAUCUGACGCUGAGGCACGAAAGCGUGGGUAUCGAACAGGAUUAGAUACCCUAGUAGUC